UGAAGGUUUGGGGAUGGGGGAGGGGCCGUGACCCUGCUGGAGUGCGGGGGGGACCUCCAGCCCCCCGGGGGGUCCCUGCGCCUCCUCUGCCGAGGGGCCGGGUUCGAUUUCGGGAACUACGACAUGCAAUGGAUCCGCCAGAGACCCGGGCAGGGGCUGGAGUGGCUCGCAGGGAUCUACAGCAGCGGUGCCUACACCUACUACGCGCCGUCAUUCAAGGGCCGGGUCAGGAUCUCCAGGGACAACGGGCAGAGCUCGGUGACGCUGACCAUGACCGACCUCUGGGACGAGGAUUCCGGAUCCUAUUUCUGUGCCAAACGUUACACCAGUGGUUAUGCUAAUGCUGCUUAUGGUGUUGAUGGAGGUGGUGCUCCCAAGCCCUCUCCUCUCUGUUCCCAACUAUCCCAGAAUUCUCUCAUCCUGCCCCAAAUCCCAGCCCUUCCCCUCCGAUCUCGGCCAUUUCCCCCACACUCCGCCCCUGCUGCCCCAGCCCUGCGUUCCCCCCAGUUCUGACCAUUUCUCCCCAGC